CGCUGGCGGCGUGCCUAACACAUGCAAGUCGAGCGAGGAGAUCCUCGGGAUGAUCCUAGCGGCGGACGGGUGAGUAACACGUGGGCAACCUGCCUCAUAGAGAGGAAUAGCCUUCCGAAAGGGAGAUUAAUACCUCAUAACAUUGCAGUUUCGCAUGAAACAGCAAUUAAAGGAGCAAUCCGCUAUGAGAUGGGCCCGCGGCGCAUUAGCUAGUUGGUGAGGUAACGGCUCACCAAGGCGACGAUGCGUAGCCGGCCUGAGAGGGUGAUCGGCCACAUUGGGACUGAGACACGGCCCAGACUCCUACGGGAGGUAGCAGUGGGGAAUAUUGCACAAUGGGGGAAACCCUGAUGCAAGCAACGCCGCGUGAGUGAUGACGGCCUUCGGGUUGUAAAGCUCUGUCUUCAGGGACGAUAAUGACGGUACCUGAGGAGGAAGCCACGGCUAACUACGUGCCAGCCGCUGC
rnacentral:rRNA from 1 species